rnacentral:rRNA from 1 species
UAGCGUAUAUUAAAGUUGUUGCGGUAAAAAAGCUCGUAGUUGGAUUUCUGUUGAGGACGACCGGUCCAUUCAAUGAGUGCGUAUCGGUUCGGCCUUGGCAUCCUUGACGAAAUGGUUUCUGCGCUUGACUGCGUGGUGCUAGGUCGUCAACUUUUACUUUGAGGAAAUUAGAGUGUUCACGGCAGGCUAUCGCCAGAAUACAUUAGCAUGGAAUAAUACUAUAGGGUUUUGGUCCUAUUUUGUUGGUUUCUAGGAUUGAGAUAAUGAUUAAUAGGGACAAUUGGGGGCAUUCGUAUCAACACGUC